CUGAGGCAGUCGGACGCAGAGGGGUUAGCCAGGAGAGAUUCCCAAGCAGGUCCCGAUCCUAGCCUACUCACUUGCACUCAGUUGGGCUUGCAGUAUGUGCCUUUUAAAACUGGAGACAGCGACAGGAGACAAAUGGAUGCAAUUGCUAUGAGAAAGCCAUCUGAUCAUUCAAAAAUGUUGUGUAAUCAUCUAAAUGGAAACACCCACAUUUAUUUGGAUACACCAAAAUGGCUCAGGACAUUGUCCCAACCAGCAUGUGUUUGACCAUAAUUACUUCUUGAUUGACUGAGGUGAGCAAGACUCAAAUCAAACUCUAUGAGCUGUUUUAAGAGCUGACGCUAUUCCAUGGAGACAGUAGUGGAAGGGAACUAUAAUUCUCCCUUUCACUGUACAUUGGAAAGGAUAAAGCAUUAAGCAUCAAUUGGGAAAAGCACUCUUUUAAGGGCAAAUUCAGUGGCAUGCAGUAGAUUGCUUUUUGUCUGGGAGAGUUGCCAAGUUCUUUUACUCCCUAUAAUAUACCAUGUCAAAAAGCUGGCUCUUUAUUAUACAGAUGAAAUCUGUUUCAUCUGGAAGCAAAAUGGUACAUUUGCUUCUCCUGCGGAAUACUCCUUUGCAAAUUGUAUGACGUUUCGUUUGGCAGCAAAAAUAGUAAAUUUACUUUGCUAGCUGAAUACGGGAUUCCAAAUAUUUUACUUUUAUAUGAAUCAGUUCUGGCACCAUCUGUCAAAACAAUAUGCUGAAACGCUUUUAGAAAAUAUUUUUCCGAUUAAAUUUAUUAUGUGAUGCCGUUGUAUUUAUGACAGACUUAAUGUGAUAAUAUAGAUAAAAUAGUUCUCAACAACGUGGUAGUUAUCUGAUAAGGGUGUGGGCUUUUGUACUUGCUUGAACUGCACUUUGGUGAAUAUUUGAAAAUGGAUUGUGGUGAAAUAAUGCAUGGCAUCAAACUGAAAGGUCAACAGGCUGAAAAAGAGACUCUACAACCUCCUAUCCUUCUAACUCUUUCUGUGAAAAUGUUCUGACAUUACAGUCUCUUUAAACAGAUUGCAGAGGUACACCUUGAUUCUGCAGCCACUUACUUGAGAAUAUUUUUUUUCAAGAUUGGCUACAAGGAUGUCAUACUGUUCUCCUAUUUUGCAGAUGGUGCAUAUUCUUUCACAGUCUCUACUGCAGUGAUGCUCAGUGGUUUGGGAGCCACAUGUUGCUUUUUCACAUGUUCCCUGUGGCUCUUCUGAACAGUGUUUCAGGAAAAUGGGCAAGACUCUGACACAAUGAGGCUUCUGGAUGACAGGUGGUUCCAGUCUUAAAACAGCAGCUGGCAGGUGAACAGGUGCGAAGCACGGCAAGAGCUAAAACCACACGGAAUUGUGAUCAAAGCCAACAGCAAAGAUGUUGGAAGCUUUGCCUUGUCUUGAAAUUUUGGAUGGUGGCCUCUUGUUUCCCCAUGAAACUCAGUGAAGAUGAAUUCCUCGGCAAUGCCGCUGUUCAUGCUCCAUCCAUUUCAGAGGAAGAAUCCGGUGCAUGCAGAGGCGUAUCUCCAAGGGAACGGAUGCCGCAGCUUGGACAGAGAUUUGUUUAGAUUGCUGGAGAUGAAGAAGUGAAUGUUUCCCUGUAUCCUUUUCUUUUUUGUAAGUAGCUAUAUGCCCUCUCAAAUCGCCAUCUGCUAAUAUAUAGUUCCCAUUCUAUAUAGUAAUAUAUCUGUUUUUAUUGUUUUUACUGUUUUUAACUAUGACGUGUUUUUAUGUGAUGAUAUGUUUAAAUUAUUGUACUCUUUUUGUUGUUCAUCACCUUGAGCCCUUUGGGGGAGGGUGGUUUAAAAAUUCAAAAUACAAAUGAAUGAAUGAAUGAAUGAAUGAAUGAAUGAAUGAAUGAAUGAAUGAAUGAAUGAAUGAAUAAAUGAAUAAAUUUGAGGCAGUCCCCAAUUUCCUUCCAAAGUUACUUUUUGAAGUCCUCCCUUCUCCAGUUUUUACAAAACGUGCUGUCAAGGGUACUGACAGGGCUUAAAUGUGUGUUCAAAUGAAUAAGUUAGAUGGCUGUGAGAUGACUUUUGGCUGUACUGGUGGCAGCAGCAAGAGACAUAUGGUGUGAUUGCUGUAAAGGGUGUGUGUCAUUUCUAGCAACUAGUUUAGAAAUUUUGACCUAAAUGGGUCCCUGCAGCUACUUUUCAACAGGGACAAAGUGAUAUAACCACUUCAUUUUCUUUUGCAGUUUUGUUUCCCUUGUUCCUGGUUUUGGGUCACCUCAUUGUGGUGCAGUGGUUAAGAGCAGGUGGACUCUAAUCUGGAAAUUGGAUUUGAUUCCCCCCACUCCUCCGCAUAAGUGGUGGAUUCUGAUCGGAUGAACUGGAUUUGUUUCCUCACUCAUAUA